GGGGGGAGGAGAGAGAAAGAGAGUGAGAACCACAGCAGAAACUCAAAGCUGUUUGUUCAGGAACUGUAUGAAGCAAGAGCAAGACUGACUUGGCAGAAGCGGAAUCUGGUUUUCCUGGAAGGGAGUGACUGAACUUGCUGUACAAAAACUGAAGCAAACCUGCACUUCCCGCCUGCAUCCAGGGCUUAAUGUAAGCCAGGGCUGCUUGCCAAAGCUUAUCCCUUCAGCCAGAGAAUGUUUUCAUUAACUCUGGCAAGGACAGAACUUGGAAAGUUACCUUAAGGAAGUCAUCGGUUGCAUUCAACAGCCACAAGAAUGAACACAAAGCAUGAGCCAGCACUUACGCCAUGUGAUAUUCCUCCACCACCAUUUGAUGAGGCCACUCUUCCCUCAUUAUAAAACUAAUUAAAAGUUGUAAUUAAACUUGAAAAGAGUGAGAUUAUCCCUCAUUAGCAUAAUGUAACUCAGGAUUUUAUCACACAAACCCACUAUUUCACUACAGUUGUGUUAUCGUCGAUAUUGAAUACAUAUUGAAUGGAGCACCCUCGAUAUUGCACUUCUUUUCCUUAGCAUAAUUGUGCCAGUCUGCUUCUGGUGUGAGAGAAUUGGCCAUCUAUAAGGACGUUGCCCAGGGGAUGCCCAGAUGUUUUUGACAUUUUUACCAUCCUUGUGGGAGGCUUCUCUCAUGUCCCCACAUGGAGUUGGAGCUGAUAGAGGGAGCUCAUCCGCACUCUCCCUGAGUUGGAUUCGAACCGGCAUACUUCAGGUCAGCAACCCAACCUUCAAGUCAUCAGUCCUGACAGCACAAGAGUUUAACUCACUACCACCCUGUGGAUACCUAAAAUCAUAGAUAGUAGCAAAUCCUAUAUUUUGACCAGGGCUGGUUCGUUAUGGAAGCCCUUGAAGCUGGCGCUUUGGGCACAGCCCUUGCUGGGCGCUCUCCCGGUGGUGGUGGCGGUGGCGACCAUUGGGUCGCUCGCCGCGGAAAAAGAAAGUCCUUGCUAUUCUCGCUAUUCUCUGGAGAGGACGUUGUC